AAUACGUUCCCGGGCCUUGUACACACCGCCCGUCACACCACGAAAGUCGGCAACACCCGAAGCCGGUGGCCUAACCCGUAAGGGGAGGAGCCGCCGAAGGUGGGGUCGGUGAUUGGGGUG
rnacentral:rRNA from 1 species